GAAAAACAUUCAAUCUUGAUUUAAAAAUUGCCAGUGAUGAAGCAUCCACCUUCACCCUUGGUGAGUGGGCGUUAGCCGUCCCCCUCUGUGCCAAUCUACAUAGGACAGGAGCUGCUACAGCUUGAGCUGAAGAGCCAAGGGGAUGUAAUGACUCAUAUCUCCAAUGGUAGAGAUGGAUAUCAACUCCAAUUCAAGCAGCACAUCUCUGACAACAGUUCCACUACAGAGGUCCAGUCCUCCUCCCAGAUAUCUGCCAUUCCCCUCCAUCAGCAGGAAGCACAUCCUGGUCAGGGAAAGGGAAAAAUCACAUUUCCCUGGAAUCCUUGGACAACUCCCUCCCUUCUUUUGAAGAUUUCCUAUCAAGGGGAAAAAACUCUCUAAAUGAAGCUAAAACCCUCAAGAAGGCUUCUCUGCUGUACUUGGGGCUCUUGCCAAGUUCCUGCCCAGCUGUGUGAACCCAAGCCCUGACACAGCAUUAUAUAAACUAUUGAUGAGCUCUUUGAAAAGAUACAAAGCUCAGCCAAACCUGCUGAUCCUGUUGAGCUGUAAGAAUUAGACUGAAGAAAAUAACAAGCCAUCUAUACCAAAAGGAAAACCAAGAAAUGUGAAAGAUGAGACUGAUUCCUUUGAAAAGAUAACAAUGAAAGCUAUUUUACAGCAGUGCAGUAUGCUAUUUAGCAAAGCACAAGGGCGUGAAGAAAAGAACAAUAGCACUUUUCUUUGCAUCUGGAAACAUAUGUUCAGUAUUGCCAUUUGACCACUAACUGUGUGUUCCUCAGAAGGACCAAAAUAGUUUUCCUGUCUGGAAUGUGAAUAAUCUUCCUAAGUCCACUGUGACUUGAGGCUGUAUCCCUUUCAGGGAGAACUGACAUAAGCAUCCAAUUCUGAUGCUUAUGGGUAUUUUAAAACAUGGCAUCUUAACGAUUACAUGUUCAUCCCCCACACCUCUCUUUACCAAGGUGCUAGUGACUGUGUUAUGUUUCACGCUACUCAAACACUAAUAUUUUUGGUUAUUGUUGAGACAGUAUAAUGUAAGGAGGGCCAAAAUGGGUUCAGAUAAAUUAAGAACUGACCCUAACCUUCUCCCAGAACUCAAACCUAUACCUAAGCUUCUUAGAGCUUUAUAAAAAAGUUAAUUUUCUUCUCCCCUCCCUUCCCUUUUUUUCUUUACACACAUACACCUCUUAAAUUUCUAGUUUGGUGGAGAGCUAGAAAGAGAUGUACCACAAUAUUACAAGACAGGCAAUUUUUGUAACAGUUCCUGCUA